GCACUACUGAAGAGUCCCAUACUAGGACGAAACGGCCGUCCAGUGU
rnacentral:hammerhead_ribozyme from 1 species